GCAUAUACAGAAUGCAACACUAAUAUAUAUAGCGACGCUCUGCAUUGCCCAUCAACUGUUCGAUGAAAAUCCUCAAAAAAAUAAAUAUGCAGCCACCCGUGCAGUGGACAAAUACAUGUGUAAAACUGUGUUCGAAGGUUACCUAGUGAAGAUGAUCUGAUCGAUGGAGAGACUGUGAGGAGCUUAAGGAAUUUAGGAGCGAGUGAAUUCAUUGUUCUUUUACAAAGAAAAGUAUCACACUGAACAAACCGAAAGGGCUCGAGAAGGGUUUAAGAACGGGUCACUUAACGGGCACAAAAGGAUUUUGCGGGUGCGGGUUGUGUGUCAUUCUUCGUUCUUGAAGUCGGGAUAUUGGAUCUUUAAUUAAUUAAUCUCGACGCUCUAUGUCAUCUUCGACACUUGCUCAACUUACAUUUUGAAAAAUCUCUGUAUAUAAAUACUUGAUACAAAAUUAAAAAGAUAAUCAUGAAAGAUUGAACGACAUUUUGUAAAAUCUCGAAUCGAC
rnacentral:lncRNA from 1 species